rnacentral:rRNA from 1 species
AUUGAACGCUGGCGGCAGGCCUAACACAUGCAAGUCGAGCGGAUGAAGGGAGCUUGCUCCUGGAUUCAGCGGCGGACGGGUGAGUAAUGCCUAGGAAUCUGCCUGGUAGUGGGGGAUAACGUCCGGAAACGGGCGCUAAUACCGCAUACGUCCUGAGGGAGAAAGUGGGGGAUCUUCGGACCUCACGCUAUCAGAUGAGCCUAGGUCGGAUUAGCUAGUUGGUGGGGUAAAGGCCUACCAAGGCGACGAUCCGUAACUGGUCUGAGAGGAUGAUCAGUCACACUGGAACUGAGACAGGGUCCAGACUCCUACGGGAGGCAGCAGUGUGGAAUAUUGGACAAUGGGCGAAAGCCUGAUCCAGCCAUGCCGCGUGUGUGAAGAAGGUCUUCGGAUUGUAAAGCACUUUAAGUUGGGAGGAAGGGCAGUAAGUUAAUACCUUGCUGUUUUGACGUUACCAACAGAAUAAGCACCGGAUAACUUCGUG